rnacentral:tRNA from 1 species
GCGCUUGUGGUGAAAUUGGUAGACACGUCAGACUUAGGAUCUGGUGCAGCGAUGCGUGUAGGUUCGAGUCCUAUCAGGCGCA